GGGGGGACGCAGAAGGAUAGUUCGAGCGUACCUAUUGGACAUGGUGUCGUCUCUCAUCUUAGGCAAUGCCGGAGCAGGCAAAUCCACUCCGGAUGUUAAGCGGAGGAUGAGGGGAAGCUGAGUAGAAAUACGAGGCGACUCAAUUGAAUCCAAACUGCCUAGAAAAUCCUCAUUGUCUUUGAAGUAAUAGUGCCCGUACCACAAACCGACUCUGGUAGGCGGGGAUAAAAGUCCCAAGGUGAUCGAGAUAAUCCACUUUAAGGAACUCGGCAAUCUAACCCCGUAACUUCGGGAUAAGGGGGGUCCGCUUCGGCGGAUGACACGAAAAUGGCUCGAGUGACUGUUUAACAAAAACACAGGUCUGUGCUAAAGCGUAAGCUGAGGUAUACGGGCCGAUACCUGCCCAGCGCCGGAAGGUUAAGGAGAGAUGUUUUAAAAGCGUUGAACCGAAGCCCCGGUAAGCGGCGGCCGUAACUAUAACGGUCCUAAGGUAGCGAAGUCCCUUGUCGGGUAAGUUCCGACCUGCACGAAUGGUGUAACAACUUGAGCGCUGUCUCAAAGAGGAACUCGGCGAAAUUGAAAUACCCGUGAAGAUGCGGGUUACCCGUGACUGGACAAAAAGACCCCGUGGAGCUUUACUAUAACUUGGCAUUGAGUCUGGGCUUGUCAUGUGUAGGAUAGGUGGGAGGCUGUGAAGCCAGGGCGCUAGCUCUGGCAGAGCCAACGGUGAAAUACCACUCUUGAUGAAUCUAGCCUCUAACUUCAGAUCAAGCUGGAGGACAAUGCCUGGUGGGUAGUUUGACUGGGGCGGUCGCCUCCUAAAUUGUAACGGAGGCGCCCAAAGGUUCCCUCAGGCUGAUUGGAAACCAGCCGUAGAGUGCAAAGGCAGAAGGGAGCUUGACUGCGAGACCUACAAGUCGAGCAGGGACGAAAGUCGGGCUUAGUGAUCCGGUGGUUCCGCAUGGAAGGGCCAUCGCUCAACGGAUAAAAGCUACCCUGGGGAUAACAGGCUUAUCUCCCCCAAGAGUCCACAUCGACGGGGAGGUUUGGCACCUCGAUGUCGGCUCAUCGCAUCCUGGGGCUGGAGCAGGUCCCAAGGGUCCGGCUGUUCGCCGGUUAAAGCGGUACGUGAGCUGGGUUUAGAACGUCGUGAGACAGUUCGGUCCCUAUCUG
rnacentral:rRNA from 1 species